GAUGAACGCUAGCGGCAGGCUUAACACAUGCAAGUCGAGGGGCAGCACGUCUUCGGAUGGUGGCGGCCGGCGCACGGGUGCGUAACGCGUAUACAAUCUACCUUUUACAGGGGCAUAGCCCGGGGAAACCCGGAUUAAUAUCCCAUGGUAUCAUUUAGUGGCAUCACUUGAAUGAUUAAAGUUUCGGCGGUAAAAGAUGAGUAUGCGUCCUAUUAGCUAGAUGGUAAGGUAACGGCUUACCAUGGCAACGAUAGGUAGGGGUCCUGAGAGGGAGAUCCCCCACACUGGUACUGAGACACGGACCAGACUCCUACGGGAGGCAGCAGUGAGGAAUAUUGGACAAUGGGCGAGAGCCUGAUCCAGCCAUGCCGCGUGCAGGAAGACUGCCCUAUGGGUUGUAAACUGCUUUUAUACGGGAAGAAACACCCUCACGUGUGAGGGCUUGACGGUACCGUAUGAAUAAGGAUCGGCUAACUCCAUGCCAGCAGCCGNGGU
rnacentral:rRNA from 1 species